rnacentral:rRNA from 1 species
AUGGCGACUAUGAAUAAACUGCUGCUUCUUCUAGCCACUGUCCUUCUAGUGUCAUCCUCAGCCUUGGCGGCGCAAAUUCCUCCUCAGUACGAUUGCUCGAAGGUGAUCUACUCCGGCAAAUGCCAAGCGGUCACGUGCUACACGGACUGCCUGAAGAAGUACGUCAGAGCAGAAGGCAUCUGCGUCCCGGAGGGAUGCAAGUGCAACUAUUAUUGCAAAUCCCUCCUUCCCCAAGCACAACGCAACUGA